AAUGAACGCUGGCGGCAUGCCUAACACAUGCAAGUCGAACGGCAGCAUGACCUAGCUUGCUAGGUUGAUGGCGAGUGGCGAACGGGUGAGUAAUGCAUCGGAACGUGCCUUUUAGUGGGGGAGAACGUAGCGAAAGUUACGCUAAUACCGCAUAUUCUCUGAGGAGGAAAGCAGGGGAGCUUCGGGCCUUGCGCUAGAAGAGCGGCCGAUGUCGGAUUAGCUAGUUGGGGAGGUAAAGGCUCACCAAGGCAACGAUCCGUAGCGGGUCUGAGAGGAUGAUCCGCCACACUGGGACUGAGACACGGCCCAGACUCCUACGGGAGGCAGCAGUGGGGAAUUUUGGACAAUGGGCGCAAGCCUGGUCCAGCCAUGCCGCGUGAGUGAAGAAGGCCUUCGGGUUGUAAAGCUCUUUCGGCUGGGAAGAAAUCGCACCCUCUAAUACAGGGUGUGGAUGACGGUACCAGCAUAAGAAGCACCGGCUAACUACGUG
rnacentral:rRNA from 1 species